GACAGAGGGUGCAAACGUUGUUCGGAAUUACUGGGCGUAAAGCGUGUGUAGGUGGCUGCGUAAGUCGGAUGUGAAAGCCCUGGGCUCAACUCAGGAAGUGCACUCGAUACUGCGUAGCUCGAGUACCGGAGAGGUUGGUAGAAUUCUCGGUGCAGAGGUGAAAUUCGUAGAUAUCGAGAGGAAUACCUGUGGCGAAGGCGGCCAACUGGACGAGUACUGACACUGAGACACGAAAGCGUGGGGAGCAAACAGG
rnacentral:rRNA from 1 species